CAGGUGGCCGAGGCAGGGCUUCCUGACCUUGGUUAUGCCGUAAGCUCUCCUAGAAAAUGAAACUUUUUGCAACCACUGAAUUAUUUGGGCCAUUCAGAAUUACAUGGCUACAGAUCACCAAGAAAAUUACUGGACGACGAAAGAUGGUGUCUGAGCUCCCUGGGGGCAGGGACGGAGUUUUACUCCUCUGUUCCCCAGUACACCCCCUGCCUCUCCCCAGCAGGUGCCCCAUAAGUGGUUGCUGACCCAAGUCAAGUGUCCACAUGGGUGAUUCUGAAACAUGGCUGAUCUGAGGAGCUGGGGAUCCACUGUGCCCUUCCCACCUGGUCCUUGCAUUUUACCGCUCCAGCACCCGCUCCCCCGACCCCCAUACAGCAUGGGAAGCCCCUCAUCCAAAAUUCCUUUCUCACUGGGUGGAGGUGGACACUCCUGGGUCUGGGACUUGGCUCUCUUGUUCCAAUGAGACAGACAUCCGGGGAGCACUUCCUGUGGGGGGGGGUGUGUGUGUCAGACUUGAGACUGCUGUCUGUCAGGCAGCAGGCAGUUUAGAGGGAAGUGAGGAAUGAGGCUGAAGUAGAAACGAUCAUACACAAGAUGGGAUCCGUUCCCAAAGGAGGUGUGGGCAGGGGGUUCAGUGGCGGAAGGACCACUGGGGCUUGCAAGAGGACAUGUUCACAAAGAGGGAGAGAGGGAGUCCUGACUGGGGUGGGGAGGCUUGAUCAAGGCCUUGAGGGUAGGAUGAGACCCCUGAGGGUGGAGGGGAGGAAGGGGGAGUGAGGAGCAGAGGAGGAGUUGUGAUUUCCCCCCAGACUUUCAUGUUAACAUUUUUUCAUCUCUGAAACUGGAACCCAUUAGCACUGUCCUUCCAGGCCUUCUCUGGCCUGAUUAUAGUUUGCUUGUGGGUGAAGGAGGAAUCUGAGGCAGAGAAGGGAGACAGCUCUGAGACUGGAUCUGCGAGAUGCCAUCAGACAUUAGUGCAUCUACUAGAAUGCAGGCUCCAGGAGGGCAAAGGCCUGGGUCUGGGCCUGCACUGCUGUAUCCCCAGCGGGAACUUGGCUUAUAAAGGGGGACGGGGGUGUGUGUGUGUGUGUGUGUGUGUGUGUGUGUGUGUGUGUGUGCUCCAUCAGUGUUUGUUGGAGAAUGAAUGUCCCACUUGAGAUGCUGUUAGCAGGAACAGGAAAGGGGUGGAAUCCAGGAGGAAGGAGGAGCCUGAGGAGUCCAAGACAACAUGGGUCCCAGGCUGGG
rnacentral:lncRNA from 1 species